rnacentral:rRNA from 1 species
AGUAACACGUGGGGAACCUGCCCCAUAGUCUGGGAUACCACUUGGAAACAGGUGCUAAUACCGGAUAAGAAAGCGGAUCGCAUGAUCAGCUUUUAAAAGGCGGCGUAAGCUGUCGCUAUGGGAUGGCCCCGCGGUGCAUUAGCUAGUUGGUAAGGUAAAGGCUUACCAAGGCGAUGAUGCAUAGCCGAGUUGAGAGACUGAUCGGCCACAUUGGGACUGAGACACGGCCCAAACUCCUACGGGAGGAGCAGUC